GCUGGGCGUGGUGGCUCACGCCUGUAAUCUCAGCACUUUGGGAGGCUGAGGCAGGUGGAUCACCUGAGGUCAGGAGUUCAAGACCAGCCUGGCCAACAUGGUGAAAACCUGUCUUUA
ensembl:misc_RNA Metazoa_SRP Metazoan signal recognition particle RNA